AAGAUCAAAGGCAGCUGGACUGAAAAAUCUUGUGUUGUAUAUGCUGGAGAGUCAAACACAAUUGUUGCCCAGGUAACUAAAAUAUUUAAGAUACAUAAUUAAUUGCAGCUCUAUAUCAAUAAUAAUUCUUUUUUAUUUUCUAAUUGAUAAUCGUUGGGCUUGCAGAUGCACAAAAAGACAACUGUGGGCAGUGUCUUGCUCAACAAGGACAGGUUCACUGUGACAGUUUAUCCGAACAUAGACUAUGCGUUUAUAGUAGCCCUGAUCGUGAUCCUCGAUGAUAUCAACGGUGAUGAUGAUACGAGUGAGAUAAUUUAGAUUUGAAAUUCCUACUAUAAAGUGAAAAAUAGUGUGUCUGUUUGAUGUAAUUCAAGUAAGAUGCUGUAUCCGUGGCUUUGGUUUUCCUUGAUUUCAAAACCCCUUUGCAGUAGCCAGCUAGUUAAAAGUACUUUUGCUUUCAAUAAAGGCUAUAGCUAUAGCUGUUUGUACGAGGCUUGCUUUUGUGGAGACUUUGUUGUUUGGAAGCCAUUGGGCUUGUAGUCAGAUGGUUGGCUAGUGCUCUCGACAUUGUUGAGGACACUAAAAUGAUGGUCGGCUAGUGCUAGUAGACACGUUGUAAAAUUAAAAGAUGAAUAAUUAAAAAAAAAAGAAGAAGGAAAGAAUCCAAUUCCUAUAAUAUGAUGCCGAUAAUAUAAUGCCAAGUUAUAGGUUACUAAACAAACAAUAGGAUGCAAAUCUUAUAAUUUGAGAGAUAUAAAUGUAGAAAUCAGAACUGAAUUAAUUAAAGUAAUUACGCAGCCAGUAGCCACCAUAAUGGAAAUUUCAUAGGCAAAGAACAAUCUUCUGCAGGUGAAAAAUACAUAAAAC
rnacentral:lncRNA from 1 species